AUCGCUUCUCGGCCUUUUGGCUAAGAUCAAGUGUAGCGUGCAUGACGUCAUCAAAUUGGGCUCCGUUAUUUUCUCGUUUUUGGAGCAGUUAGUUUGUUUCGUUCGUUCUAGUUUAUACAUCAAUUUGUCCCUAAAGUUUUUAUCUUCCUUUGGUACAAGUUUGGUUCG